rnacentral:lncRNA from 10 species
ACAUGCUGUGUCAGGUUCAGGAUGUCUCCAACUGGAGAACACUGAGAUUUGAUGUUUUAGGAGAGUAAAGCUGACUGCCCAGCACAGAGCUGUAUUCAGAAUCCAUUUCAGAGCCUCAAGCCUUGCCUGGCAGCUGCCUCACCACAUCAGCCGCCGAGGCUGGCAGCUCCCACUGCUUUGAGCUCAUCAUUCAAAGAUGAUUCCUGCAGCACGCUUGAGUGACAGAGCUAAGAUGAGAGGGGAUGAAUUGUCCAGGGUUUCUGCAGACAGACCAAAGGUGAUGAUCCCACAUCAGCAACAAGAGUCAGGAGGAAGUCUUCAGAAGCAGGAAUGCAUAGAUCCAAGAAAGAUCAUAUGUGAAGCACCAGUCUAUGCUCUGUAUCUCGCCUUCCACUUUUCAAGGCAUCACUCUGAUGAAGAUCUCCUCCUUCAGCUGUGCUCUCCAUGGCCUCUGAACAUAUAACAUAGUCCUAGCUCACCCAAAUGAAACAAACAGGUAGGGAGGAAAACAAGGACAGAAACCAGGAGGCCCAGCCCAGGAUUAAAAACACACCACAGCCUUUCCAAAAAGUCAGAGUCAUACAUGGAUCACUUGGAAAUAACUGAACUUGCAAAUCCAGUUUCCCAUGGACCUGCUGAGUUUAUGAGGAAAAGGUGGCUGUGGCCAUUACCAAGUUAUUAAAACCACAGAGAUCUUGACUUGUAUGGACUGAGAUGAGGCUUCCAUCAGCAUCUCGCAUAAAUAACAUAACACUGAUGCAGCAGAUGAACAUGGAAUCAGUGACAUCCACAAGGUAAGACCUUUUCUUCUUUGCCUUGGGCUCAUCUAGACCCCUGUGGCAGGAGAUUCUGAAGCGUGGAACAUUACUGAUUCUGAAAUGAUACAAUUUAUGCCCUGACUAAGCAAGGUCCACCUUUGGUUAUAAACAUUGGAUCCAUCAUAAAGUUAUUAAGCCAAGAUCAUGUUUUUGGACCCUGAAGAAGACAAUAGGCUUGGAGGAGAAACAGACCUUGACUUCAAGACACAACGCAGAGGGAAAUAUCGCUGAUACAAAGCUUGAAGAUGAUCAUCUAUGUACCCAUCGGGACAUUUUUAAAGGGACAAGUGGAAUGAGCGAAGACUUUGAAGACAGUCUUGUCUGCCAGGCACUCAGAUCAUCAGGAAGCAGAAAAGGAGAUGCAAGAUCAGGUUGAGAGGUUUUAUUCAACAUUUGAAUCAUGCUCAAACUUGCAGACUUGACUUAAAGCUUAGAUGCUUCAUCUCCAAAAGAAGCUGGCCAUGGAGUACAACAAGGAAUCUAGUAGCAGUCUGGAGUUUUCCUCUAGAAAGUGCUGUGGUCUCAAAAUGCAGUCCUGGGUAUCUGGACACAAUCCCACAAAGGGUGACUGCUAAAAAGAAAAGAUUUCAGGAUUGAGGAACAUAGCUCCUUCUUCUAAUGCACACUAUGUUGGGAUGGUGGGAUGAAGGCCGAAAUUUUCCAGGUUGGAGUCUUUUGGUGGUUUGUUUGCUUAUCCUGUAUCUGGAGUUGAGAAGAAACCAAGUUUGAGAUUUAGGAUGUGGACAGGAGGUAGGAGUUUUGCCCAUAAAUUACAACAGAGUCUGAACCCAUGGGGACUGCCAAGAAGACAAAGUGGUCACAAUUGGCUUGGGCCCGAAGCCAGGGCCCCUGCAGAGCAGGAGCCCAGUUGGGGCCUCCUCCCAGAGCCAGUGCAGCUCUGCCUGUGCGUGGAUGAUAAGCUCUGUGCUGCUUCCUCUGAAUCAUGAAAACAAACAGACCGGGCCACGAUGGAAUAAAUGAAGCUGCAGAUGAAAGACAUUUUGAAGACGAACAUGAAUUAGAGGGUUGGAGGGAUCUGAUUUUGACUUUCACAUUCAUCUGCCUUCUCCUUUCAGCAGUGGGGCCAAGGUGGCCGGCCAAGCCACUGGGACUUCUACAAGGGCCUCUGCAGGCAGGAGGCUAGUGAAGACUUAGAGCCUGUAGCGUGGACUCACGCUCAGGAGAGCCAUGAAGCCGGGGCCUCGUCUGCAGCUUUCUUCAUUCACGCUGAGAAAGUUUGUCCUUCCUGCCACCCGUAAUUUUCCUGGAGAACUGAAAAUAACAAAACCAGAGGGAUAUCCACAGAGUCCAUAGGUUCCUAGGUUAGUUCUACACGGUCCCCUUCUCCUCCCAGAAACACGAGAUGUCAGAUUCCUCAAGAUUCCUUUGAGCUCACCCUAAACUGCUCGGGGCAAGAACAUCAGUCUGUUUGUCUCUUGAGACCGUCUCUGGCAUGUUUAUGAAAAGAUCACUGGAGACUCCAGUUUCACAAUCAACAAUGUACCUAAAAAUAGAAAAAAAUCUGUUCCAGGAUAAUUUUGUCUCCGAACAGCAAGAUCAACAAAAGAUGCCUUCAGGGAACAAGUGGUCCUUCACUGAAGUCUAACGAAGCUCUGAGCUGCCUCUCAGAGCAAGGGGAGGGUGUGGCUCCCAAACGUCCUCUUCCUCUUCCCAUCAGCUCACACUGACUGGCAGUACGGAUGAAGCUGUGAACAGUAAAUGGUGACUGUGAACCAUUCUGACGCCGUCACCUGGGGCUAGGUGGCACUGUUUAAUGAACCAUCUCUGCGCAAGGCAAGGCCCAGGGUCUAAUUGGUUGGAAAGCUUUGUAGGAAACCCAGAAUGCUAGUUGCCAAGACUCUCUUCCCCUAAGUUUUAAAAUUCCUAGGUAAUUCCCUGGAAAUGUAAUCCGGAUGUUCCUGACUCCUGUAUAUUUAAACCCAUCCCACUGUUGUUUCCAAAAGACAUUUUAUGGAUAUUCCAGGCGAGUGUUUUGUCUUUAUCCAAUCAAGGAAUGCCAUUAAUUAGAUUUAAAAAAGUCCACAGGGACUGCUGUGAAAUCUAAUUCUGUCUUAAGUUUGCUAACUUUUUUUUCCCUUUUUUCUUUUUCCUCUUUUUUUUUUUUUUUUUAAUUUACUGGCCUUGUUAAAUAGUCUAAGAAAACAGGAGAAAGAGUGUAACAUAACAUAGAGCAUCCUGGACCUUAGUACCUUCAGGCUGAACCUUGCUUUCUCUGAGCUGGCAAACUGGGAUCCCAUCAAAAAGCAGUGUCAAAAUAUGGAGUUUCCAGCAAGUCAGCUUAGGAAAGGGAGUAGAAGAGAAUAAAGUAGAAAUCAAUAUCCAUUCCUAGGUUCUUACUGCAUUGUAGGAAGCACUUUCUGUUUGUUUGUUUGUUUGUUUGUUUGUUUGUUUGUUUGUUUUGAGACGGAGCCUCACUCUGUCACCCAGGCUGGAGUGCAGAAGCACAAUCUUAGCUCACUGCAACCACCACCUCCCAGGUUCGAGUGGUUCUCAUGCCUCAGCCUCCUGAGUAGCUGGGAUUACAGGUGCUCACCACCACACCCGGCUAAUUUUUUGUAUUUUUAGUGGAGACGGGGUUUCACCAUGUUGGCCAGGCUGGUCUCGAACUCCUGAGCUCAAGUCAUCCUCCUGCCUCAGCCUCCCAAGGUACUAGGAUUACAGGCAUGAGCUACCAUGCCUGGCCAUAGGAAGCACUUUCUAUUCCAGUUGGUAGAUAACAGAGACAGCUUAUCCUUGCUAUGAUAUCAGCAGAUAACAGAUCCCAAAACACAGUGCAGAUUCAUCACGGGGUUUUAAAGUCACAGAGACUUGAAUCAAAGUUCUGUCCCCCUCCUCCCAUUCCUUAACUAUGUAUGUAGGACUUGAAUGAGCUACUGGAACUCUCUGAACCCUGUUGCCUCAUGUUUCAAGUGGAGGCAAUAAUAUUUAACUCAUCACUUUUAACUAAUGUUUAUUGAGCACUUACUAUGUGCCAGAUACUGUGCUAAGAGCUUUCCAUGCAUCAUUUUAUUUUACCCUUAUGAUUUCCUUAUUCUAUAGGCAUGAGAACUGACACUCACAGCAUUCACACAGCAUGCCAAGUGGCAAAUCUGGAACACAAACAUCGCUCUUUAUGACUCCAGAGUUAUCAUCCUGCUGCUGUGAGUAUGAAAUGGCAUAAGACAUGUACAGGGUAGGGCUCAUAGUAGCUACGGAAAAGAACCAACACUAAGAACCUGUCUACUGUGUGCCAUACCCUAGAUGUGUUUUCCUUUCCAAGGCUGUCAUUUUGCUUGUGCAUGCAAGGCUUUUGUGGAUGUGACAGUUCUAGUAGAGGAUCACAGGGACAUGUGCACCUCUGACUAAGAUUGUCCUCCUCCACCAUGAACACAACUUUCAGAGGAUGUAAGUAGAAUGGUAAGUGAGGAAGGAGGCAACCACUCAUUAGAGAAAUAUUUUCCAUAUCAGUCCUUGAAAUGGGGCCAGGCACAGUGGCUCACAACUGUAAUCCCAGCAUUUAGGAGGCCGAGGAAGGAGGAUUGCUUGAGGCCAGGAGUUUGAGAUCAGCCUGGCAACAUAGGGAGACUCUGUCUCUAUUAAAAAAAACCUUAAAACAAUUAGCUGGGCAUGAUGGUGCAUGCCUGUGGUCCUAGCUACUCAGGAGGCUGAUGCAGGAGGAUCACUUGAGCCUAGGUGUUCAAGGCUGCAGUGAGCUAUGAUGGCACUACUAAACUCCAGUCUGAGUGACAGAGUGAGACCCUCUCUAAAAAAACAAACAAACAAAAAAACUUUGAAAUGAAUGGAGCAAAAGAUAUCUCAGACAGACCCCAUACUCUUCCUAAAGGGAUUUAGGUAUGCCCCAUUUCAGCAUGAACGUACGUCUAGAAAAUACAAAAGGAGGAAGAAUGUUCUGUCCAGUGUUUUAUUUGUGCAAAUGACGGGAUUUCUAAAGCUUUUCAACAACACAACAGUUGGCUGUAUUCAAAAUCAGCCGAUAGUAAGCAGGUACCUUGUCCUCUAAAGGUUUCUAGAAGGCUACAUGGUCUGUAUUUGGUCAUCCUGAUUUAAUUCCCUAUUUUUCUGAUAGAGAAGGAAUGUCGCUCUCUGUAGAAAUAUGUGUCCUAAAAGUCCCUUGGCUACUCUGAUUGAAAAAAGAAACAUGUUUGCAGGACUAAGCUAAGAUGUUGAGAUAAGAAUGAACACAGUGGUCACAACAGAUAAACAGGAGGAGGAAAGGAGCUGAUGAAAAUGGGAAUGCUUUCUUUUUUUUUUCUGUCUUUACAGUUGCCUUGCAGAGGCGCUAAACCCCAUAACUAUGUUUAUAUUCUGAUGAUGUAAGACAUUGCUUCCAAAGAGAUAGCAGUUUCCAUAGAGCUGAAUCUAUGGGAGCACAUAUUAAUCUCUUUUUUAUUUUAGGAGGAAGAGAAUCACAUCACAGAAAAGUCGUGAAAUGAUUGAAAUGUUCUUUUCUGUUCCCCCAAAGCAUCAUUAAAUGUAUGUUUCAAUCUCCUAAUAUAAUCUGAUUAACAUAUAUGCUUGACAUGAUUCAUUAGAAUAAUGACAAUGGGAAUUUCCAAGGAACACUUAUUCUGUGCCAGGGACAGUGCUAGCCACUCGACAUGAAUUAUUUCACUUAAUCUUCUCAGUAAUUUAGUUGAGAAAAUUGAGACUCUGAUUUUAAGUGAUUUUUCUAAGGCCGUGUACAUAAUGCAUAGGUUUGAAUUCCAUGUGUCUUUGACUGCAGAAUCCAUGCUAGGCCACACCUCCUAGCUCUAAAACAGCAAUAAUAUAUCAUAAGAAAGGGACCAGGAGAUGAAAGGGGGCAGGAAUUGGCAUCUGCCCAGUACUUGGUCUAUAUCAGGUACAUUACAUGUUUUCGCAUGCCCAACUUUACAUAAUUAAUAAGUAGGUGAGCUAAGAUUUAACACCAAAUGGAUCUGCUUUCAUAGUUCACUCAUGUUCCCUCAAGUGGACUUUCUGCCUGAUUACUUUAGGUGAGUUUAAAAAAAUUAAAAUAGGUAUUAAAGUUAAAUUUAGGGACCACCUAAUCCUGAAGCUAACCAAAAACAGUAUUGGGAAUUAAACUUAAGACACUGAUAUCCUGAUUAUCUAUUGCUGCAUAACAAGUUACCCCAAAGUGUGGUGGCUUUAAUAUAAUAAUUUAUUAUUGUUAUUAUAAUCAUAAUUCUGUGGAUGAAAAACUCAGGUGGAACACAGUGCAACAGCAUGCUUCUUUUCUUCUCUUUCGCUGUUAUUUAUUUAUUUAAGUUUUAACUGACACGUAGUAACUAUACAUAUUUAUGUGGUAAAGUGUGAUGUUUCAAUAAAGGCAUGCAUUGUGCAAUGAUCAAAUCGGGGUAUUUAACAUAGUCAUCACCACAUACAUUUAUCUUUUCUUUGUGAUGAGAACAUUUCAAAAUCCUCUCUUCUAACUAUUUUGAAAUAUACAAGACAAUAUUAUCAACCAUAGUCUCCCUACUGUGCAAUACAACACCAGAACUUAUUCCUUCUGUCUAACUGUAACUUUGUACCCACUGACCAACAUCUCUGCAUGCCUCAGGAUGUCUUGCUUCUGCUCAGCAAUGUCUGGAGUCUCAGAUGGGAAGACUUGAAUGGUUGGGGGCUGAAACAGCUGAAGGCUGGAUGGGUAUCUCUCUCUUACUCUGCCUUUAUCUCUCUCUCUCUCUCACUGUCUCUCUCUCUCCAAAAUAGCAAGCUUAGGCUUCCUCACAAUAUGGCAAUCUCAGGUUAGUUGGACAUCUUAAACCGCAGCAGAGCUUCAGAGUGUUCCAAGUAUUUCAAGAAAAGGAAGUGACAUCUACCAGUCUCUUAAGGCCUGGACCAAGAAACGGAU